rnacentral:misc_RNA from 1 species
UUCAAAGCGUCGUGUGUUCGUUCACUGAUUCGCUGUUGAUUUCGAGCCACGAUCCGUAAGAGUGUCUAAAGUCGAAUCUGAAAGUGUAUCUGACAUGUAUUUUAUUUAUUGUUAUUUUUCUUUCUUGUAAAUUUUUUUAAGUUAUCUUAUUUAUCAAUAUGUGUAAAUAAUAGCGUGUAAUGUAAAAAGCAAUGCGAUAAUUUAUAUUCGAUCAAUUCGGUAUUGUUUUAAUGUGAUUUAGUGGUGAAAAAGAUAUUGUGGUGUAAUGGAAGGAAGAAAAAAGAUAGUAGAAGGAAAAAGAAAAGGAGAAAGUGCAUUUCGUUUUGGGCCUGCUAGUGGACUCAUCAUCAGUAAGGCUAUCUAGCAGGCCCGUGUCUUAAACUUUGGGAUGUAGAAGCCAGAUUAAGGGAUAUAUUUGUAAAAAAAGAUAGUUAGGCAUGUGUGCGAGAAUUGUGUUUCAGUGUAAAUCCCUCUGGUGGCGAGUGUAGAAGGGCCGUCACAGUACAUCCUUAAUCAUAGUUAACGAUAUUUCAGUUACCGGGUUUAAUUAUUUUCUUAAAAAUAUUAAUACAAUAUAAAAUUAAUAGUAAAAUGUAAAACAAAAAAAAAAAAAAAUCAGUGUUCUGUUACUUUUUUGAAGUACGAUGAACGUGUAACUAACUCAAACUAAUUUGCGGCAAGCGUGUUUGUAUUGAAGUAGUUGUGUAGUCUAUUGUAGGCUGGUCAUGUUAGAAAUGCGACUGUGCAUGUGUUAUAAAAUAUUUAAACAAUUGGUAUAGUGGUCCAUUGCUGUGAUGAGUGUAGAAUUUAGUGCAGUUGUACGAUCAAUAAUUGAAAAAAUAAACGAAAUUUAUAAAAAAAUUAAAUCAAAAGAAAAUAUAUGAAAUAUAUAUAUGAAAUAUCUUCUUAAAAGAAAUAACAUUUAGAAUUUACUGUUAGAAUAAAUUCUAACAGUUACAGUCGCAAAAAUUAAAAUAAAAAAAUAAUCUGUCCAGAAAAAUAACAAAUAUUUAAUAUUCAAUAAUAAAUAUAUACGUAGUUAAAAAGAGAAUUAAUUUCGCGGUUUAAUAACUUAAAAUAUUUGAGUGGAGGGGGGUACUGUGGCAGUUUCCAUAUAGAAAUUACUAGCUAGUAACUUCCGCUAGAUAGCGCUGAUGUCAGAAGAAACUGUACGCUAACGAGUUUGCCAAUCUUAGAAAAGGAUAUAUCCUGUGUGCUAGAGGAGACGCUCAGAUUUUAGAGAGUCCUAGAAAAGAGUAGUCACGUUUGAAAUCGGGUGUUGCAAUAUCAUUGUUAUAAUUAUUAACGUUAUUUUUAAUAAAUUUUUAUUAUUUUUUUUUUGUCAUGUGAUAGUGUAUAUAUAUUAUUAACCUCUGCUUAUGGGCGGCUAAUCAUAUUAUUUUGAGAGUACAAAGACACUAGAAAAGAGCGCUAUUUACGAACACGCGCAAGCCGCCAUAAUACCAUGUUCCGCUGCAUUCCAAUUUUUAAAGGAUGUAACAGGCAGGUGGAAUACAUUGACAAGCGUCAUUGCUCUCUGCCGUGCGUCCCCGAUGAUAUUUUACGAUACUCGAGAAGUUUGGAGGAGCUCCUACUGGACGCGAAUCAUAUUCGUGAUCUACCGAAGAAUUUUUUUCGGCUACAGAAGUUACGAAAGCUCGGUUUGAGUGACAAUGAAAUUCACCGUUUGCCUCCAGAUAUUCAGAAUUUUGAAAAUCUCGUGGAACUGGAUGUAUCCAGGAAUGAUAUACCAGAUAUUCCUGAGAACAUCAAGAAUUUACGGGCACUUCAGGUGGCGGAUUUUAGUAGUAAUCCUAUUCCAAGGCUUCCAGCAGGGUUUGUGCAAUUAAGAAAUUUAACUGUUUUGGGACUUAAUGAUAUGUCUCUUACGAAUCUACCGCCUGAUUUCGGAAGCUUAGAGGCGUUACAAUCAUUGGAGUUAAGGGAAAAUUUGCUCAAGUCCUUGCCAGAAUCGCUAUCCCAACUUUAUAAAUUGGAGCGGCUAGAUCUUGGUGACAAUGACAUUGAAGUUUUACCAGCACAUAUAGGAGAAUUACCAGCAUUACAAGAAUUAUGGCUGGAUCAUAAUCAGUUACAACAUUUACCACCAGAAAUAGGGGAAUUGAAAACAUUAGUGUGCCUGGAUGUAUCUGAAAAUCGCUUGGAAGAUCUUCCAGAAGAAAUAGGAGGUUUAGAGUCUUUGACGGAUCUUCAUUUAUCGCAAAAUGUUAUUGAAAAAUUACCCGAUGGACUUGGAGAAUUAAAGAAACUUACUAUUCUCAAGGUCGAUCAAAAUAGGCUUUCUACUCUAAAUCCAAAUAUAGGCAGGUGUGAAAAUUUACAAGAAUUAAUUCUUACGGAAAAUUUUCUCUUAGAACUGCCUGUAUCUAUAGGAAAACUUCUUAAUCUAAAUAAUUUAAAUGUAGAUAGGAAUAGUUUGCAAUCACUUCCUACGGAAACGGGAAAUUUAAAACAAUUGGGUGUACUGUCCUUAAGAGAUAAUAAACUACAAUAUCUUCCAAUCGAAGUUGGACAAUGUACUGCUCUCCAUGUAUUGGAUGUGUCUGGCAAUAGAUUACAAUACUUGCCAUAUUCCUUAAUCAAUUUGAAUUUGAAGGCAGUAUGGUUAAGUAAAAAUCAAGCACAACCAAUGCUUACUUUUCAAACAGAUGUUGAUGAAGAAACUGGACAGGAAGUAUUAACCUGUUUCCUUCUACCACAAUUAGAAAUUCAUCCAGAUUUAGAUUCAGGAAGACUUGGUAUGCUUGCUGGAAUGAGAAAUGCUGUUCAAGAUGGUGAAAUACGUGAACUUGGUAGUAGUGAUGAUGAAGGAUGGCAAGAAAAAGAAGCAUCAAGAACGCAUUCUGUCAAGUUUACAGAUGAACCUCCAGAAACUGAUAAGGAGACACCUUUUGUACGACAAAAUACACCUCAUCCCAAAGAAUUGAAAGCAAAAGCUCAUAAAUUAUUUAAUAAAGGAAAAAAUGACAGUCGUUCAGCAUCUACAGAUGAGCAAGAUGUUUCUCAAACAUUUGGUUUGGACAAAACUGAAACUGAUGUUUCAACAAAACCUAACGAUUUAACAGUUGAUUUGAUAGAACAAGAAUCAUUAAAACAUGAAUCUAUAGAAAAUGAACAAAAAGAAAUUGUACCUGGAGUAGUAACUGAUGAUACAGAUGUCCAACCUAGUAAUGAAAUAGUUUCUAAUCAAUAUAUAAUAGAAUCUAAUACUGACAUAAGAAUUGAAAGUUCAAUAUCUGAAUCAAAGGAUAAAAAUGAUAAGGAGGAUGAUGAAUCUGAAAAUGAAGAAACACAAAGACAUGUAGAAUUUUCUAUAGCUGAAGGUACAGAUUAUGAUGGUAGUGGUGAUUCAAAUAGACCAAAUAGACUUCAUCGUAGAGAUACUCCACAUCAUUUGAAAAAUAAGCGAAUUCAUACAGCAGUGGAUAAAGAAAAAGUAGCAUCCAUUAUUGCACAAGCACUCAUGAAAAAAAAUGAUGAAAUUUCCACAUCCACGUCAGCACCUGCAGAAACUACAGAAAAUUUUGACACUCAAAGUCAAGAUGCGAUUUCAGAUGCUGAGCCGACAAUAGAAGUACGAGAAGAACAAUACGAAAUUCACAUCGAAAGAACGACAGGUGGUCUCGGCUUAUCAAUAGCUGGUGGUAUUGGUUCAACCCCUUUUAAAGGCGAUGAUGAAGGCAUUUUUAUUUCCAGAGUUACUGAAGGUGGACCUGCAGAUUUAGCAGGUUUAAAAGUGGAAGAUAAAGUAUUAUCUGUUAAUGGUGUAUCAGUAGUAAAUGUAGGUCAUUAUGAUGCUGUAGAAGUUUUGAAAGCUUGUGGACGAGUUCUUGUAUUAGUAGUUCAAAGAGAAGUUACAAGGAUAGUGCCUCCAUAUGAACAGCAGGUAUCAUCGAGAAAGAACUCAGUGUGCUCUAGUUUAAGUACUAGUAGAGCUCCAAGUGCAACAUCUCAUGUUUCAUCUAUAGGUUUUUCACAUAAUUUAGAAAAUGGUGAUGCUUUAUCUCAUGAUGCUAUUAAGUGUAAGAAAAUUCCUGAACCUAUAUCUUCAACAAAGGUAGGCAAUGAACCAAUGGUAUCAGUUCUUGUUCACACAACAUUAAUACGGGACCAAAAUGGGCUUGGAUUUAGUAUUGCUGGUGGAGAAGGUUCUCCACCAUUCAAAGACAAUAGUGAUGCGAUAUAUAUUUCAAGAAUAACAGAUGGUGGCGUAGCACAAAAAGAUGGUAAAUUAUUAGUUGGAGACAAAGUAAUAUCUAUUAAUGGAGUUGAAAUGAGAGGAGCUAAGCAUGAGCAAGCAGUUGCUUUAUUAACAGGUUUAGAAAGAUUUGUUCGAUUAGUAGUCGAACGCGAAAUACCAUUUUCACAAGCAAAUGCAGCCACGGUCGUAACACCUUCAGAAAAAUCACCACGAGUAAUCGGUGCACCUAAACCAUAUACAGGAUUAUAUAAUGCCAAUAGUUACAUAGCAAAUAAACCGGGAUAUACCGGAUACAGACGUUCUAUAGAUGCUGAUAGAACAUUAUCUCCAAGCCCUACUUCGAAAACGCCUCCACCUAUGAAAAUUGAAACUACUGAGUUACCGAAAAUGAAUGGUGUUACAGAAUCAGGAAAUAUUAAAAACGUUUCUUCGAUAUCACCAAGUCCAACAAAUAGCCAACUACAUCCACAACCUGCCCCUAGGCACAGCAUUUCGCAACCAACAAUUACACCUACAACUACUACGAGUUCAACGCCCACAUCUUCUACAGAACCUAGGUCAACCUCACCCCAGGAAGAUAUACAGGUACCCAAGCCUAUCACCAACGAAGAAUUUCAGGCUAUGAUUCCUGCUCAUUUCCUUCGCCCUCCUACUUCCUCACCAUCGCCAGAUUCCCAUCAAGGCCCUAUUGUGACAGUGACAAUAAAACAGCCUGAUAAUCUACCUGGAGAUGUUAAUUUUCCUCCGGCUCCUACAACACUUGGUAAAGUUACUGAGACCAUCACAAAGAGCACUCUCACCGAGACCGUCGUAACUAGGGUGACUGAAAAUCAAUUGGUACCACCAGUAAUUAUUGAGGACGUGAUUCUUGUAAAAGAAGGAUCUCUAGGAUUUAGUAUUAUUGGUGGUACAGAUCAUUCAUGCACUCCAUUUGGUGCAAAGGAGCCUGGAAUUUUUAUAUCUCAUGUCGUGCCUGGUGGUAUAGCUGCAAAAUCUGGUAAAUUAAGAAUGGGUGAUAGAAUACUAAAGGUAAAUGGUACUGAUGUAACAAAAGCUACUCAUCAAGAGGCUGUGAUGGAACUUUUGCGACCAGGAGAUCAAAUAGUGCUUACAGUCCAACACGAUCCACUACCCGAAAAUUAUCAGCUGGUCGAAAUAGAGUACAUCCCUGUGACAGAAUUAGUUAUUACAAAAGAACCAGGUGAAAAACUGGGCAUGCACAUUAAAGGUGGACUUCGAGGACAAAAAGGUAAUCCACUUGAUCAUACAGAUGAAGGAGUUUUUAUAUCCAAAAUCAACUCAGGUGGUGCAGCUAAAAGAGAUGGAAGACUGAAAGUUGGAAUGAGACUAUUAGAAGUUAAUGGUACAUCAUUAUUAGGCGCAACCCAUCAAGAAGCAGUAAAUAUAUUGCGGUGUUCAGGAAAUACAAUUACAUUGGUGGUUUGUAAAGGAUAUGAUAAGAGUGAAAUUGAACCAGUAUUACCAAUAUCCGAUGGAAGAGAUUCUAAAGAAUCUAGAACAUCCAAAGAAUUAAAAGAUGCUACAACAGAAGGUACUAAAUCGUUAUCACAAAGUAUAUCCAGUCUGGAUCGCGAUGAUGAAGAAGCAGCAACUCUUAGACAAGAACAAGAAAUGAAAGCUGAACUUGUAGCAUGGGAACAAGAAGAAAGAGAACGUGCUUUGCUUGAGCAUAGAGAAAAAUCUACUCCUGAAAAAGUAUUAGAUGUAGUAAGAGCAGCUGAAUCAUUAGUAACCAAAUCAAAUAGUCCGGUUGAUAUGGUCGUACCGCCAAAGUCACCAGGUGGUACGAAAGAUCUCAAAACAACCACUAUUGUGAUGAGCAAACAUACUCUAGCACCUCAAAAUACAAAUUCACUGAGGAAAGAGAGAACUGGAACAUCAGUGGACAAUCCAUCGCCCAAGUCUCCGGUCUCUACUUUAACUCCAUCGAUGAAUUUCGAUCACACUACUGCUGUCCAAAGCUUGCCCUCUCCAAAGAAAAAAAGUUCCAUACCAAAACGUAGUAUUACAUUUGCUGAUCUUCCUCCCAUUUCUAAAGAACAACCAAUUAAUUAUUCCAUUUCGGCGAAAGAAGAUCCAUCAUCUUUGCAUGAUAGUAAAUUUACUUUCGAUCCUCAAACUAUUUCUUAUAAGAAAAUCUAUCAAAAUCCUACCCAAGCUACUCAUUCUCGUUUCAAACUUCCUCCUACACCUUUAACUGCUCCUAAAUCUAUAGAAGAUUAUGGUACUUCAGUUUCUUUUGGUAAACGACAGAACGCACGCUCUGUUGAUGGGAAUAGUCAGGUUGAGCUUUCUCCAACAACAUCACCAACACCACCUCUAGUAAAGAUGUCAGUUAGUGAUAAAAAAAAAUUAUUUGAAAGUGCCAUGGAGGAACAUUUAAAACCUUCCCCUAAACCAGAAAAAGUAUUCAGUUUUCUAAGUCAGGAUGAAGUUGAGAAAAUGAAACAGGAAGAAGAAAAGAAGAUUGCUACUUUAACGCGAGAUGAAUUAAAAUCGUGGGCACAACUUGAUGAAAAUGAAGGUUUGGAAGAUUUAGAAGAAACAUUAGAAGAUCAGGAUAAUCGGCGACCUAAUGUGCAUGCUCGUUACCUUGCAGUAGCCGACUGAGUUCGCGAACUUCGAUCCCUCUUCUGCAAAAUCUUCCAAGCAGUGUAAGGACAGCAAAAGCAGAACGCCGCUUGAAAGAAAGACUAAUACAGGAGGGUAUAAUUUCGGAUGAAGAUGAAGAAAGUCAUUUAAGUCCUGCCGAACAGAGAGCAUUAAGAGCAGAAAAACGUGCGGCAUGGAGACAAGCACGUUUGAAAUCUCUGGAACAAGAUGCUCUUCAAGCACAGAUAGUAAU